GUUCUUGAGCAAGAUCAAAUCCUAUACAUCCUUGCAGGUUUGGGCCACGAGUAUGAUUCUGUGAUGGUAACAAUCACUUCAAGAGGUGAUAUGUGGACAGUGCAAGAUGUCACUGCACUCUUGCUUAGUUUCGAAU